rnacentral:rRNA from 1 species
GCGGCGUGCCUAAUACAUGCAAGUCGAGCGCAGGAAGCCAUCCGAACCCUUCGGGGGGACGUUGACGGAAUGAGCGGCGGACGGGUGAGUAACACGUAAAGAACCUGCCCUCAGGUCUGGGAUAACCACGAGAAAUCGGGGCUAAUACCGGAUGGGUCAUCGGACCGCAUGGUCCGAGGAUGAAAGGCGCUUCGGCGUCGCCUGGGGAUGGCUUUGCGGUGCAUUAGCUAGUUGGUGGGGUAACGGCCCACCAAGGCGACGAUGCAUAGCCGACCUGAGAGGGUGAUCGGCCACACUGGGACUGAGACACGGCCCAGACUCCUACGGGAGGCAGCAGUAGGGAAUCUUCCACAAUGGACGAAAGUCUGAUGGGAGCAAACGCCCGCGUGAAACGAACGAAAGGGCCCUUCGGGUUCGUAAAAGUUUCUGUUGUAAAGGGAAG